UGUACGCGGACGUGUCGCGUCGGUGGCUUUAUUGCCUGGCGCGAUGCUGUAUAUAAAAAUGCAUAUCCCUUGGAAUGGAUUUUACAACUUUAAAAAAGAAAAAGGAGGUAACACGGUUAUCAGGCGUUGGGGCGUGAGCCAAAUCGCUGUGUCCGCCGGAGAUUAAACAGGAAUACUAAAUAUUUACCAAAUGCGAUCAGUCAAGGUUAAAACGUGACACAUGCGUGAUGUACAUGGGCCUAUAAAUUAAUACUAAAUUCCCUAAGCGCCUGCCCAUGUCGAGCAUGAAUUUCACCAAUGCUGGCAUCCAUUUCGCAGUAAUUUGAUUUCUAGAAUCGAAUUUACGAAAAUGUCCAACCAAGUGUGCUGGCAUGGCCAUAUCCGAUCGGCAAUGACUAGCAGGCAAAUCAAGUUAAAGUUCAGCACAAUAAAUAAAUACAUAGAAACAGCCGAAAAGCGAGUCAGAUGUGUACGCCAUUUUAUUGGAUUUAAUGCACAUUAAUGGGCGCACAAUGGCAAUGAUAUCAUCGCUGGAAUUGUGCGCCAAUUACUCGAUUGCACUUGCACAAAGGCUAUCAUUUCCAGCGAAAUAUGUUGUAAGCAAUUACUUACGUCUGCUGCAGGGUCGAAUGUAGGAGGUAAAUUCAAUUUGCAGAAACCUACAAAACGCACACAACGUGACUUCGGCUUUUCGGUAAUCUUUUACGGAGCUAAUUCCCUGUAAGGAAGGAUAGCCUUCAAAAAACGAAGGGGGCAGCAGUAAGAGCUCUCUAUUAUUAGGUGUAGUGCAAAAAGGACAGCUUAAAAUAUGAGCAAAAGUCAAAAAAAUAAUAAUAAUUAGGUACAAAUGAAUUAGCUGGAAAUAUAAACUUUGUAAAUAAAAGCCCUGAAUUAAUCG
rnacentral:lncRNA from 1 species